GCCUAGUUCUUAAAAAAUUUCUCAUCGACAAUGGAUUUCUCCUCUUAACCUCGGUAAGUGCGCCGAGGUUUUU
rnacentral:ncRNA from 1 species